CCCUUAGAUGUUCUGGGCCGCACGCGCGCUACACUGAUGCAUUCAACAAGCCUAGCCUUGACCGAGAGGUCCGGGUAAUCUUUGAAACUGCAUCGUGAUGGGGCUAGAUUAUUGCAAUUAUUAAUCUUCAACGAGGAAUGCCUAGUAAGCGUGAUUCAUCAAAUCGCGUUGAUUACGUUCCUGCCCUUUGUACACACCGCCCGUCGCUCCUACCGAUUGAAUGUGUUGGUGAGGAGCUCGGAUUGGCAGCAGUUGGUGGUUCGCCACCGGCUAUUGCUGAGAAGUCCUCCAAACCGCCCCAUUUAGAGGAAGGAGAAGUCGUAACA
rnacentral:rRNA from 1 species